rnacentral:rRNA from 1 species
AGUGAACGCUGGCGGUAGGCCUAACACAUGCCAGUCGAACGGCAGCACAGUAAGAGCUUGCUCUUACGGGUGGCGAGUGGCGGACGGGUGAGGCAUACAUCGGAAUCUUCUUUUUCGUGGGGGAUAACGUAGGGAAACUUACGCUAAUACCGCAUACGACCUACGGGUGAAAGCAGGGGAUCUUCGGACCUUGCGCGAUUGAAUGAGCCGAGGUCGGAUUGGUUGGUUGGCGGGGUAAAGGCCCACCAAGGCGACGAUCCGUAGCUGGUCUGAGAGGAGGUUCAGCCACACGGAAACUGGACCACGGUCCAGCCUCUUAGGGGAGGCACCGGUGGGAAAUAUUGGACAAGGGCGCAAGCCUGAUCCAGCCAUACCGCGUGAGUGAAGAAGGCCUUCGGGUUGUAAAGCCCUUUUGUUGGGAAAGAAAAGCAGCAGGUUAAUACCCCGCUGUUCUGACGGUACCCAAAGAAUAAGCACCGGCUAACUUCGUG